AGAUUCUCCACUCAGGGAAAUAGCAUGAAAGAAAACCUGAUGCCCCAGUGAAUAGCCAUUUUACUCACCACCUUUAGAAUGACAUAGCCCAGCUGCUUCUGGGCUAGAACCUCAUCCUCCUUGUGACUCGAUGCUUCUGCUGCCAAAUGAGGUGGAGAACUGUCACAGUGCGUCCUUGGAUGAUGGACCGCAGAUGGAACACCCAGCAGGAAGUAACUCCUCCACUGAGGAUGGCAUUCAUCUCUACCACCU
rnacentral:lncRNA from 10 species